UACCCUCAAAAGACGGUAUUAG
rnacentral:miRNA from 1 species